rnacentral:rRNA from 1 species
CGCGCAGGCGGUCAGUUGCGUCAGAUGUGAAAGCCCCGGGCUCAACCUGGGAUGUGCAUUUGAUACGGGCUGACUUGAACCCGGGAGAGGGUGGUGGAAUUCCCAGUGUAGAGGUGAAAUUCGUAGAUAUUGGGAAGAACACCGAUGGCGAAGGCAGCCACCUGGACCGGUGUUGACGCUGAGGCGCGAAAGCGUGGGGAGCAAACA